AUCCUUUUGUAGUUCCUAAGUGUGAGAAUGGGUUUUCACACUCAUAUGUGAGAGAACCUCGUUCAAACCUUAUCACCACCUGGGCACAUUCCCCUUCUGAUG
rnacentral:snoRNA from 1 species